GGAGAGAAGGAACUGCCUGCCUUUCUCCAAACACCCCAGAGCCUCUCCCCCCUCCCCAGACUGGCAAAUCCACCCUGCCUUCAGGGGUCAGUGAGGGCAUUGUCUGCAGCCCCACCUGAGAGAGAACUACCACCCUCAAUGGUUACCCUGACCUAGUCUGAGGGGCAGGGGGAAAGGCUGAGGCAGGGCAAAGGGAGUGUGGAGGAAAGAGAGACCAGAGAGUGUCUCUUACACAUCCUAUGUGAGUGCCUGGAGCCAGGCAGUCACCUCCACUCUGAGGACGAGAUCCCAGCACACUGUUCCACACUGGUCUGAGGCCAAGAGACAGAGACAAAGAAGAGAGUGAGGCAGGCGUUUCUCACUCAGUGUGUCUCUCUUCAAUUCCAAAUAUGUCCUUCCUGUGGAUGUGUGUGAGUGUGCAGCAUGAAGAGAAUCAGAUACCACAAU